rnacentral:lncRNA from 1 species
AUCUCUUGUAUUCUGUUGCUGAUGCUGGCAUCUAUGGUUCCAGAUUUCUUUCCUAGGGUUUCUAUCUCCAGCGUUGCCUCACUUUGGGUUUUCUUCAUUGUGUCUACUUCCCUUUUUAGGUCUAGUAUGGUUUUGUUCAUUUCCAUCACCUGUUUGGAUGUGUUUUCCUGUUUUUCUAUAAGGACUUGUAACUCUUUAGCAGUGUUCUCCUGUAUUUCUUUAAGUGAGUUAUUAAAGUCCUUCUUGAUGUCCUCUACCAUCAUCAUGAGAUAUGCUUUUAAGUCUAGGUCUAUCUUUUCAGGUGUGUUGGCGUUCCCUGGACUGGGUGAAGUGGGAGUGUUGAAUUCUGAUGAUGGUGAGUGGUCCUGGUUUCUGUUAGUAGGAUUCUUACGUUUACCUUUCGUCAUCUGGCAAUCUCUAGAGUUAGUUGUUAUAGUUGUCUUUGUUUAGAGAUUGUUCCUCUGGUGAUUUUGUUACCCUCUAUCAGCAGACCUGGGAGACUAGCUCUCUCUUCUGAGUUUCAGUGGUCAGAGCAGUCUCUGCAGGCAAGCUCUCCUCUUUCAGGGAAGGUGCACAGUUAUCUGGUGUUUGGACCUCCUCCUGGCCGAAGAUGAAUGCCCAAAACAGCAUCUUUCCUAGAAGCUGUGUUGUCUUGGCCUGUCACAGAAGCCAUUGUUUCAGUAGUCCACACUCUCACCUGUGUAGAUUACUUUCCGCGGAGUCCAGGAACCAAGGUGGCAUCCGAGGAAGCUGAGGCAGAAGCCUCUCGGGCUGGGCGGACAGCUGUGCUCUGACCUGGAAGGUGGCCGGUUGCCUGGAGCCGAAAAUGGCGCCGCCUCAGAAGCUCUGUGGCUCUCGCCUGUCUCAGAAACUGCUGGCCUCUGUAUCCCAAACCCUCACCCGUGCAGCCUGCCCUCCACGGAGUCCCGGAACCAAGGUGGCUCCCUCGGAAGCAGAGGCAGAAGCCUCUCGGGCCGGGCGGACAGCUGUGCUCUGACCUGGAAGGUGGCCGGUUGUCUGGAGCCCGCAUAAAUGUUUUUACAAAACAUUUUUGUUCCUUUCAUAAUUUUUUUUUUUGCAGUUUUUAAUGUACAUGUCUUUUAUCUCCUUGGUUCAACUUUUUUUCAAGUAUCUAUUUCCUGUAGUUUUGUAGAUUUUCUUUUUUUAUAGCUAAUUGUUGGUGUAUGGAAACACCAUUAAAUGGGUUUCUGCUGACUUUUAUGUAUACAGGACAGGGACUUGUUCAGUGCUUGGUAUUUGUUUAAUUAAUGAACACAUAAGGACUCUUUGAAAUCUAAUUUGCUAACCUGCAGUGUUAGCCUGGAUGUUACUAAAGACACAUCUAUAUUUUUGUUUUUCUUUUUGAGCCAGGGUCUCAUGAUGUGUCCCUGGCUGGCUGGCCAUCCAUCUCACAGAGAUCUGACUGCCUGUGCCUCCCAGGGGCUGGGUUUAAAGGCAUGGUCACUCUGCCUGUCUUUGUCAACUUCUUGUUCCAGUUUACACUCCUCUGUGCCUGUGAGUUCUUAAGUAAUUCUUAGUUUCUGUACUUACAUUUAUUGGAAUUUAUUAUUCACUUGCUUUCCUAAAUGAUGAACCCCAAAGAACUGCUAGGAUUGUCUUUAGUCUCUUUGUGUUGUGGUUGAUUUAAAACGGCAUUUAUUUUGUUUGCACCUCACCAUUGAAAGCUGUUAGGCAAGAACUUGAAGGCAAUGGGUGAUGCAGAGGUUGUAGAGGACUGCUAGUUAUUAGACUGCUCCAUUCUUCUGGCUUGGUCAGCCCAUGGAACUUAAAACACCAACCCAGGGGUGGCAAUGCCCAUGAUGGUCUGUGCCCCCCCCCCCAUACCAAACACGAAAAUGCUUUACCUGCUUGCCUAGAGACUGUUUUGUGGACGUAUUUUCUCAAUUGAGGUUCUCUCUCGAUGACUCUAGCUUAUGUAGAGUUAACAUAGAAAUUAGCCAGCAUGCUCGCCUAACUCAGAAUACCAUCACCAUUUUCAAAAAGACUGAAGAGAUUGUCUUUCUGCAAUUUUAUUUAUUUUUCUCUUGAGUCAUUCUGCCUUUAAAAAUCUAAGUUUUAUUAGAGCUCUACAUGCCCCGGCCUGCAGAUGUGCCUUGUUGCUGGUUUGUAAUAAAUUUUUCAUUUCC